rnacentral:lncRNA from 1 species
AUUUGUAAGGUUGUAAGUUCGAGUCCUGUGGCCGUCGUCGUUUUUCUUCAUUUGUUUUUUCUUCUUUCUUAUUUUCUUUUCUUAUUUAUACUUUGUUUUUUUUGUCUCUUGAUAUUUUUUGUUUUCAUUAUCCUUUUAGAAUCGUGCAUAAAAUUUCACGUGCAAAUUUUUAGAAUCGUGCACAAAAUUUUGAAUCGCGCACAAAUUCACGUGCAAUUAAAAUCGUGGAUAAAAUUUCACGUGCAAUUUUAAGACACGCACAAAAUUCGCGUGCCAUUUUUCGAAUCGCCCAUCAAUUUUGACGUGCAAUUAGAAUCGCGGAUAAAAUUUCACGUGCAAUUUUUAGAAUCGCGCACAAACCCUCACGUGCAAUUUUUAGAAUCGUGCACAAAAUUUCACGUGCAAUUAGAAUCACACAAAAUUAACGUGCAAUUUUUAAAAUCAGACAUAAAAUUUCGCGUGCAAUUUUUAAAAUCGCGCAUAAAGUUUCACAUGCAAUGUUUAAAAUUUGGUAAUCCAAAACAUGUUGUUAUUAAUGAAUUCAACAAGAAAAACAAAAAAACCAAAAACUAGUCUACCUAUCAGCAAAACCAACACAGAUGCACAAACACGGGAAUCCACACCAACACCCACACCUAUGCACACACACGGGCACCCCCACCCAGACACGCGCGCGACACACACACCCAGACGCACAUGCAGACACACGGGCACAGCAGACACACACAUCGGCACUAUGCCAGGGAGAGGCCUAGCGAUCCAGUCGACCCCUAGACAUUACCAUUUUUUUUUUGCCUCCUUUGAAAAGGUGCAGAAUGUGUAGAGAUGCAGAAACUACAAUAAAGACCAAUAUAGUUGAGGAAGUACAUUAAAGACCAAUUAUAGAGGCAGUAGAAAGAAGUGAAAAAGAUCAGUAGAAACCAGUGUGACCGUGCACUAGAGAAGAAAUAUAGUGUAGAGAAAGUGUAGUAAAAUAGUGAAAAUUGCAUCUGAGAAAAUACAGAAGAGACUAGUGAAAAAAAUGCAGUAGAAAAUUAGCCAAAGUUGCGGCGGAGAAAGGUGCAAUAAAACUAGUGAAAAAUUACAGUAGAAACCAAUGCAUUAGAGAACAAUAGAACUAAAGAAGCCUUUUGCACUGGCGUGGAGUUUACCAAAUCUCUCAAUUGUUUAUCAAAUUCACACAGUCGGUAAUGACUUUGGGUAAAAAAAGCACGAAGGAAUAAUUUUAUAUGAUUAUUGAAGGUUGGCGUUUUUUCUAAAAAAAAAUCGUCAGUGUCUAUAACUUUGAUUUUUCUUAUGUCAUUUUCCUUUGC